rnacentral:hammerhead_ribozyme from 1 species
GCACUGCUGAGGAGUCCCACAAUAGGACGAAACGGGCGUUCAGUGC